ACCUGCCUGUAAGAUCGGGAUAACGCCGGGAAACCGGGGCUAAUACCGGAUAGUUUUUUCCUCCGCAUGGAGGAAAAAGGAAAGACGGCUUUUGCUGUCACUUACAGAUGGGCCCGCGGCGCAUUAGCUAGUUGGUGGGGUAACGGCUCACCAAGGCAACGAUGCGUAGCCGACCUGAGAGGGUGAUCGGCCACAUUGGGACUGAGA
rnacentral:rRNA from 1 species